rnacentral:lncRNA from 1 species
UGAGAGACAGGAUAGACAUCAUUGAGAUUCUGAUUCUGCGGAGGCCCUGAAGUCGAUGAGAGAGGAGAAAGAAGAGGAGGAGGAGACGCUGGAAUGUAUCGGAGUUUCCACUAGCAUUACCACUUACUCCUCUGGACUCACAGGACGAAGGGACAGAGAAGGCUGCCCCUGCACCAGUACCACCACAGAAGCCUUUCUAGGAUGACCAGUCCUCCCUCAGAUGUCAAAGACAGUACUGAGUGAGCUGAACAGAAUGUCACCACCAAGGGUUCACAAGGAUCUUGGAGCCCUCUCUGACUAUGCAUCUGGGUGAGGACUGGGAUGGGUGGGCAACAGAGGGGGUCCAGAUCAGCAUACGCCCUUGCCACUGGGGCAGGGACAGGUAAAUUCCAUGUUAACUCUUACCUAUGAGGUGGCUCCGGUCAAUUCUCAGCCUCAGUUUUCUCAGCUGCACAGUGAGGGUGCCGGCUGCCUGCAGCAUUGCUGGGAAAGAUGGGAUAAAAUACCAGGAGACAGGGGCUGGUGAGAUGGCUCAGUGGUUAAGAGCGCCAACUGCUCUUCCAAAGGUCCCGAGUUCAAAUCCCA